rnacentral:rRNA from 1 species
GACGCCGCGUGCGGGAAGAAGGCCUUCGGGUUGUAAACCGCUGUCGGGAGUUAAGAAAUGUAAGGAUGUUAAUAGCAUCUUUGCUUGACUAAGGCUCCGGAGGAAGCCACGGCUAACUCUGUGCCAGCAGCCGCGGUAAUACAGAGGCGGCAAGCGUUGUUCGGAAUUAUUGGGCGUAAAGAGCACGUAGGCGGCUAUGUAAGUCGGUUGUGAAAGCCUUCCGCUCAACGGGAGAACAGCAUCCGAUACUGCAUGGCUUGAGUGCGGGAGGGGAGAGUGGAACUUCUGGUGGAGCGGUGAAAUGCGUAGAUAUCAGAAGGAACGCCGGCGGCGAAAGCGGCUCUCUGGCCCAUAACUGACGCUGAGUGUGCGAAAGCUAGGGGAGCAAACGGGAUUAGAUACCCCGGUAGUCCUAGCCGUAAACGAUGGGCACUAAGUAGAGGGGUUUUAA